rnacentral:rRNA from 1 species
AUUGAACGCUGGCGGCAGGCCUAACACAUGCAAGUCGAACGAGUGGCGGACGGGUGAGUAAUGUCUGGGACACUGCCUGAUGGGGGGGGAUAACUCCUGAAAACGGUAGCUAAUACCGCAUACCAUCGGAUGUGCCCAGAUGGGAGUAGCUAGUAGGAGGGGUAAAGGUUCACCUAGGCGACGAUCCCUAGCUGGUCUGAGAGGAUGACCAGCCACACUGGAACUGAGACACGGUCCAGACUCCUACGGGAGGCAGCAGUGGGGAAUAUUGCACAAUGGGCGCAAGCCUGAUGCAGCCAUGCCGCGUGUGUGAAGAAGGCCUUCGGGUUGUAAAGCACUUUCAGCGAGGAGGCGUUACUCGCAGAAGAAGCACCGGCUAACUCCGUGCCAGCAGCCGCGGUAAUAC